rnacentral:rRNA from 1 species
AUGAUAAAAACAAGCCCACAAACCUCGGUAACUAAGCCGGGCUCCGAUGAACCUUUUGCCCGUUUUAAACGACACGAUCGAGCAACUACGCGGAAGGCUUCAAUGGGGGAAGGGAAAAGAUCGAAUUGGGAAUCCACGGAGACCACUGCCAUGGAACGCUACUUCUCCACGGACGUGCUGGUGGACAUCCUGCAGCGGCUCCCGCCGAGCAGCCGCCGCAGGGCGCGCCUCGUCUGCCAGGUCUGGCGCGACGUCGUCGACGAGCGCACCACGGAGAUGCAGAGCCGCGCGAAGCCCCUCCUCUGGCACACAGGCAACGCCGUCGCCUACGUCGUCGACGACCCGUCCUCGGCGCGGAGCUGCAGGCAGCUGUGGAGGAGCGCCGCGAAAGGCCGCAACAGCGAAGCGGUGCAGCUUGUCGGCACGUGCAACGGCCUGCUCUGCCUGUGCGACGACGAGGAGCGCGCCGGCGGCGCCCUCACGGUCGUCAACCCGGCCACCGGCGCGAAGCUGCCCAUCCCGCCGCUGCCGUGCGCCGGGCCGCUCGUCGGGCGCCAGACCACGGAGAAGUGGAGCAAGGAGGAGGCAUGGCACGAGGCGUACUGCUUCGCGUACCACCCCACGACGGGGAAGCACAAGGUGGUGCACGUCCCGUGCAGCUACGAACGGGUCUGCGAGUUCCGUGGGCACGCCUCGGCCCAAGCAUGGGUUCUGGAGGAAGAAGGGCAGAGAUGGAGUCGCCGGUACAUCCUCGAGCAGCGUGUCCCACUGCCGCACUUUGCAUACGCCGGCGAGUGCAUCCUCACGGUGCGCAACGGGGCGUCGUUUUACGCGCACCGCCGGAAAGAUGCGGCGUCUUCGGGCAGGAGGCUGCGUCGUGACGAAGACAAUGGCGUGGUGCGCGUCGGUCACGAGGAUGAGGGGAGGCUUGUCGUGAACAUGGGGGGCUACGUCGGAGACUACUACCGGACGUUUGCCUACGCCAAGACGAUGGAGCCACUACAAAUUGGUUAA